rnacentral:rRNA from 1 species
AUUGAACGCUGGCGGCAGGCCUAACACAUGCAAGUCGAGCGGUUGAAUCGAGCUUUCUCCUGGAUUCAUCGGCGGACGGGUGUGUAAUGCCUAUGAAUCUGCCUUGUAUUGGGGGAUAACGUCCUUAAACGGGCGCUAAUCCCCCAUACGUCCUGUUGUCGCAAUUGGUGGUUCUUCGGUCCUCUCGCUUUCUUAUUAGCCUAGUUCGGAUUAGCUAGUUGGUGUGGUAAAGGCCUACCAAGGCUACGAUCCGUAACUGGUCUGAGAGGAUGAUCAGUCACACGGGAAGUGAGACACGGAACAGAAACCUACGGGAGGAAGCAGAGGGGAAUAUUGGACAAGGGGCGAAAGGAUGAUAAAGCAAUGCGGAGUGUGUGAAGAAGGUGUUCGGAUUGUAAAGCAAUUUAAGUUGGGAGGAAGGGAAGUAAGUUAAUACCUUGCUGUAUUGACGUUACCAACAGAAUAAGCACCGGCUAACUUCGUG